AGGUGUAACGUCACGCAUC
rnacentral:rRNA from 2 species